GCCCCGGUAGCUCAGUUGGUAGAGCGUUGCCUUGGUAAGGCAAAGGUCGCGGGUUCAAUCCCCGCCCGGGGCU
rnacentral:tRNA from 1 species